AGGGUAGAAAAGCUUCCUCCCUCCUUGCUGCCCCCUCAGGGCUCUGAGUGCUCUCUCUGCAGGUGUCUGAAGGCCAGGAUGGUCUCCCCAUGGCAGCUCCUCUGGCUGCUGGUGCUCUGGGCUCAGGAUUCCCAAGGAGCCAUUGUGCUGACCCAGUCUCCAGCCUCCUUGUCUGGAUCUCCAGGAGAGAGAGUCACCAUCAGCUGCAAGGCCAGUCAGAGUGUGACAGAUAGUGGUGGUAGCUGGUUACAUUGGUACCAUCAGAAACCUCACCAAGCCCCCAGGCUACUCAUCUACAAGGCUUCCAGCCUGGCACCUGGAGUGCCUGCCCGGUUCAGUGGCAGUGGGUCUGGGACAGAUUUCACUCUCACCAUCAGCAGCUUGGAGCCUGAGGAUGCUGGAGAUUAUUACUGUCAGCAGGAUAAAAACUGGACCCCCACAGCAUUUCAGCUCUGA